rnacentral:rRNA from 1 species
AUUGAACGCUGGCGGCAGGCCUAACACAUGCAAGUCGAACGAGUGGCGGACGGGUGAGUAAUGUCGGGGAAACUGCCCGAUGGAGGGGGAUAACUACUGGAAACGGUAGCUAAUACCGCAUACCAUCGGAUGUGCCCAGAUGGGAUUAGCUAGUGCGUGGGGUAACGGCUCACCUAGGCGACGAUCCCUAGAUGGUCUGAGAGGAUGACCAGCCACACUGGAACUGAGACACGGUCCAGACUCCUACGGGAGGCAGCAGUGGGGAAUCUUGCACAAUGGGCGCAAGCCUGAUGCAGCCAUGCCGCGUGUAUGAAGAAGGCCUUCGGGUUGUAAAGUACUUUCAGCGAGGAGGCGUUACUCGCCCAGGAAGCCCCGGCUAACUCCGUGCCAGCAGCCGCGGUAAUUC